AUAUUACUGAGUUAGGGUCUUUAUGGCCCGACCUCCAACCCUUUGUUUAAUCUACCAUGUUGCUUUGGCAGGCCCGCUUAGAAAUGGGCCGCCGGAGACCUUUGAGUCUCUGGUCAGUGCCUGCCAGUAGCCUUUCUAAAUUCAUUUAUAACCGUGUCUGAAUAUACAAAGAAAAAUUAAAAUAAAACUUUCAACAACGGAUCUCUUGGUUCUGGCAUCGAUGAAGAACGCAGCGAAAUGCGAUAAGUAAUGCGAAUUGCAGAAUUCAGUGAGUCAUCGAAUCUUUGAACGCACAUUGCGCCCUUUGGCAUUCCGAAGGGCAUGCCUGUUCGAGCGUCAUUAUCAACCCUCAAGCUUGGCUUGUUGUUGGAUCGUUUGUCGUGGUGACACGCCGAAGAUCCGAAAGACAAUGGCGGUGUCGUGUUGACCCCUCGUGCAAUGAGCUUUACAGCACGCACGGAUGAGGCUCAGCCGGCCCGGUCCUUACUUUUAAUAACUUAAAGUUGACCUCGGAUCAGGUAGGAAUACCCGCUGAACUUAAGC
rnacentral:rRNA from 1 species